rnacentral:ncRNA from 1 species
CCAAUAUUUACAUAUCGGGACUAGACUAUGUCUUAAGCCUAAAAGGCCCACUAUCAUAUAGUCGUUGAGCAAUUCCUAUAAAUUAAUAUAGGAUUCGUUGCAAGUUAUCCAAAUAAUCACAUUUUGACAUUAUGUAAUGAUUAUAUAAAGAUUUUCUUGCAAUUUGAUAAUGUUGCAUAUAAACAUAUGUUAUAUACUAGCAGAUGGCUUAACUGCUUUUUAACCCUUUU